rnacentral:rRNA from 1 species
GACGAACGCUGGCGGCGUGCUUAACACAUGCAAGUCGAACGGAAAGGCCCUGCUUUUGUGGGGUGCUCGAGUGGCGAACGGGUGAGUAACACGUGAGUAACCUGCCCUUGACUUUGGGAUAACUUCAGGAAACUGGGGCUAAUACCGGAUAGGAGCUCCUGCUGCAUGGUGGGGGUUGGAAAGUUUCGGCGGUUGGGGAUGGACUCGCGGCUUAUCAGCUUGUUGGUGGGGUAGUGGCUUACCAAGGCUUUGACGGGUAGCCGGCCUGAGAGGGUGACCGGCCAAAUUGGGACUGGGAUACGGCCCAGACUCCUACGGGGGGCAGGGGUGGGGAAUAUUGCACAAGGGGGGGAAGCCUGAUGCAGCAACGCCGGGGGGGGGAGGACGGCCUUCGGGUGGUAAACCGCUUUCGCCUGGAACGAAGGGGGGGUGACGGUAAUGGGUAAAGAAGCCCCGGCUAAUUACGU